GAAUCCUACCCUGAAGAAAGACAAGAUUAGUAAGAGACAAAAAAAGUCAACAGCAGUAGCAACAACAGACUGAGACCAUCUCCAUUAAUACACCAUUUACUUACUUUCUCCUGAUAACACCAUGAGUUCUAAACCUGCCUUAUGCAUGAAGCCAGCUGGGUGACCUUGGGCCAGUCAAUUUCUCUUCAGCCUUACAAAGGAGGCAAUGGCAAAGCACUUCUGGAAAACCAAGAAAAAGGCAGGCUCUUGUCUAGACUCCUAGAAUUGGACAUGAACACAAAAAUGACUGACUGAAUGACUGAUUGACUGACUCGAUGUGUAUGUGUGCAUAGUGAGUAUUCUUUAUAUUAAUAGUUUAUACUUAAGGACAGUUGGUAUUUCUCUCUAGGGCUCGCUGACGCAUGCAUUGUGAAGUGUAUGUUUUGUAGGAUAUUUUCAAAUUAGCAAAUCAUUCAGUCUCUCCAAAUAUUAUUGCUAUACAGAAGGCAAACAAUGUGACCAGCCUCCAGUAGCUUCUAAUA